ACCCCGCGCCUGACGGACGACCAUAAGAGCUCUGUCUUGUAAUGACAAUGAUGUUCCUGAGGAUUCGCCUCUCGGCUGUCUGUUAAAACAUUGGAAAGAAGCACUCAGAGGAGCGUUGCAGUGGAACCGACCCCUACCCCUGGAAAAUCCGGUCCACGAC